GACGAACGCUGGCGGCGUGCCUAAUACAUGCAAGUCGAACGCUUUUUCUUUCACCGGAGCUUGCUCCACCGAAAGAAAAAGAGUGGCGAACGGGUGAGUAACACGUGGGUAACCUGCCCAUCAGAAGGGGAUAACACUUGGAAACAGGUGCUAAUACCGUAUAACACUAUUUUCCGCAUGGAAGAAAGUUGAAAGGCGCUUUGGCGUCACUGAUGGAUGGACCCGCGGUGCAUUAGCUGGUUGGUGAGGUAACGGCUCACCAAGGCAACGAUGCAUAGCCGACCUGAGAGGGUGAUCGGCCACACUGGGACUGAGACACGGCCCAGACUCCUACGGGAGGUAGCAGUAGGGAAUCUUCGGCAAUGGACGAAAGUCUGACCGAGCAACGCCGCGUGAGUGAAGAAGGUUUUCGGAUCGUAAAACUCUGUUGUUAGAGAAGAACAAGGAUGAGAGUAAAACGUUCAUCCCUUGACGGUAUCUAACCAGAAAGCCACGGCUAACUACGUGCCAGCAGCCGCCGUAA
rnacentral:rRNA from 1 species